ACAAACAGAUAUACGACCAUAUAUACGACCAUAUAUUAGUUAGUGGGUGCCAUUACAAUUUCUUUAUUGGUUUGUGAUUCUUUUUUUCUUUCUACAAAAGCUUAUAUUCUAAGAGUAUAUACACAAAGGGAUUCGAACAUAGGAAAUGCCUUUUUGAAUACACAUCAAGCACGGCUCUGUAUAUAUAUUGGAAGCUAGA
rnacentral:lncRNA from 1 species